AUGGGCGGCUGCUUCUCUUCGUCCGGGGCGUACGAGGAGGCCGGGUGCCGGCGGCCGCAGCGGGUGAGGCCGAGCGACCAGGACGGCAUCUACUACGUGGGCGAGCGGGACGUGGACGACAAGGCCGGCGUCUACAUCGCCAAUUUCCACCGCUACCAGUCCGAGGUCGUGCCCAUGACGCCGGCCCCCUCCUCAGCCGCCGCCUGA
rnacentral:rRNA from 1 species